rnacentral:rRNA from 1 species
GAUGAACGCUGGCGGCGUGCUUAACACAUGCAAGUCGAACGAUGAAGCCCAGCUUGCUGGGUGGAUUAGUGGCGAACGGGUGAGUAACACGUGAGUAACCUGCCCUUGACUCUGGGAUAAGCGCUGGAAACGGCGUCUAAUACCGGAUACGAGCUUCCACCGCAUGGUGAGUUGCUGGAAAGAAUUUCGGUCAAGGAUGGACUCGCGGCCUAUCAGGUAGUUGGUGAGGUAACGGCUCACCAAGCCGACGACGGGUAGCCGGCCUGAGAGGGUGACCGGCCACACUGGGACUGAGACACGGCCCAGACUCCUACGGGAGGCAGCAGUGGGGAAUAUUGCACAAUGGGCGCAAGCCUGAUGCAGCAACGCCGCGUGAGGGACGAAGGCCUUCGGGUCGUAAACCUCUUUUAGCAGGGAAGAGGCGAAAGUGACGGUACCUGCAGAAAAAGCACCGGCUAACUACGUG